CAGGUCCUCUCAGAGUAUCUGUGAGGUGAUCUGUCACCUCGGUGAUGUCACCUCAGUGGCAGCCGCCGCCAGGUGGGGACGAGACGCAGCCGCUGCCGCCGAGGCGUCGCACCUAACGGAGGAGACGCACCGGCACAUGCUCCGGAACUCUGGAGCAAGAAGAGCUUGCUGCUACUCCUCCCCAACACCCCCUCCUCCUCUAUAGCCUGCCCGUGUCACUCAGGAACCGAACCGGCAGCCCAGGUCCCUACCGCCGCCCGAAACCUGACAUGUGCCCGGUGCCAGCUCGGCUCGGGACUGGAAUCUGCAGCGAUGGCGGAUCAGCGCUCCAACACAACCGGAUCUUUAGAAGCGCAGGAGGACCUGUCUCACUGCCGCUGCAGCCCGGGCACACCGACUGCCCUGUGGACACCUCCCGCCGUCCGCAGGGCUGGAUCUUCCUCGUGGCAGAGAGCGACCCUUGAUGAUGGCAGGCGAUUUAUACCGACGUCGAAGACAACUAGAGGAACAUAACGGGAACAAGUGGAGGAAUGUCAUUCGGUUCCGGUCCAAAGCAGUCCGGGAGAGCCGCAGCGGCCACGGAGGACGACGGUCUGAUGGUGGGAGAGCGGACGGUACCGGGACCACAGGCACAAGGUGAGCCCGGUCAGAUCUUCCCCGGACCGCGCGGAUGUCUGCGCCUGGCUGCCGGCCCGAGCCGACAGGAGGAAGGUGCUCCUCUGCAGCGUGUACCUGACCCGACAGCGCCGCCUGGAGAUCCGCGGGAGCGCCUACCCGACAGACAGGUGAAGAAAUCUGGCUCCAGAACCGAAGAGUGAGGACAAGGACGCAGCGUCACCUCAGCACCAGGACUGAUGAAGAUGACCCUCCACCUCAGACGAGGUUGGAUUAUGCAGAUCAACACCAAACAAGUUAUGUGGACUCCUGCACUGAACUGGGGUGUGCCGGCCUACUAUCGGCCUUGAAGAAGGAUUCAAGUCUGAGCUGAGGAGCCGCUCAGCCGUCCAGGAGGAGGAGACGGCCUCAGCAGAGAGUCUGGACGGGCUAGAUAUAGCCUACUGGCAGGCAGCUCGGACUCGUUCUCUCUGUCGCCAGCUGGCUAAAUGCAACACUCGGAGCAGUUAUGUUGCAUGAGAAGCGACCCACGGGGCUUCUAUGUGAAGCUUUGAUCAGGAACAUAUGGCUGAACUUCCUCUGCUGCUGCAAUGGCCAGCUGCUGUCUGUUAGGAGAGCAGAAGAGAGGAGGAAAAGAAAAGACACUGGAAUAAAGGAAUGCAACGCUGACUGUAGCUCUGCAGAGAGAAAAUAGAGCCGAUAAAAAAGAGUAGAGCGGGACAGGCAGGAGGAAACAGAAGUAAACAAGGAGAGUAAAUGGAGGAAGAGAAUGAAUAAGGAAGGAGGAGGGACAGCCUCAGGUCUGCAGGCGCCAUGUUGAGACAGCAACAUUUCUGCAGCGCCACACUGUCUCCUGCCUCAUCGCUGUCCCUUCUGCCUCUCUGUCCAUCUGCAAGCCUCUUUCCGUUUCCCAUCUGUCUCCCUCUCCCACCUUUACUUUUUACCACGGGGGUAAUUGACCAACUCGUUUAUUGGUGGUUGGAGGAAGUGGAGGAGGCAGUUGUACUAGUGGUGUAUAUUACUGUAUAGUGUGGUUUUAUGGCUGCCUUAUUGCCCCUUAUUGCCUAUUGGUGGUCAACAAAAGACACUCCAAAGAACGGUUUGCGCCUCCUGGAAAGUCUGCCUUCUUUGUUGUCCUUCCUGUCUGUCUCAUUGCCUUUAAUGGUCAGCUUUGUCUCUCACAUCCACAUGGCUGAGACUAAACAGAUGCAACUUCUUCUCUCUUUUUUCACGGAGGGGCUCGUCCAUGAAACUAUGCCCUGAAAUUAAACAAAAUUCUUCUUUUUUUUAUUGACCUCAGGUGUCACUGCUUCCUCACAGAGUUCAUCGUGCAUCAUCAUUUUGCUGCUUCACAUGGAGCAACAGGAAUAGUGCGAGAGGUUUUCCAAACUCCUUUUUGCAUCAGGGUCACACAGUUGGAUAUUCAUUAAGCCAAGCAGGAGCCCGGUGCUGAAGGGAUUUUACUUGUUAGAUAUGAUUUACUGCAGCAGCCUGACCUCCUGCUGCUGGAUUCAGUCACAUGCUCUCUAAUCAUUUGAUUACAACCAGAGGACGGCAAUACCCGUCUUGCAACAGUCAAAAUCGUUCUUGUGUUACAGUUAAACUAUACUUCAAUAAACAGAGCAUUUGCAUUUGUCAAACUUUAAGAUGACUCUUAGCAUUUAUGAUUAUGUGCCACAAAUGUGAACUGGAUACAAAGAAUGUGAAAAAGUGGCUAGCAGCAGUAGUCACAACAAGUUUUGGGGGGAUAACAGAGAAUUAGAUAGUAAACACCAAAUUUGUAGAACUACAAAUAUGUGCUAAUGUAUCUGUAAAGUCGUGAACAUGAGACACA